rnacentral:rRNA from 1 species
UACAGAGGGUGCAAGCGUUGUUCGGAAUUAUUGGGCGUAAAGGGCGCGUAGGCGGUGCGGUAAGUCUGUAGUGAAAUCUCUGGGCUCAACUCAGAGUCUGCUAUAGAAACUGCCGUGCUUGAGUGUGGGAGAGGUGAGUGGAAUUCCCGGUGUAGAGGUGAAAUUCGUAGAUAUCAGGAGGAACACCGGUGGCGAAGGCGGCGACCUGGGUAGAUACUGACGCUGAGGUGACGAAAGCGUGGGGAGCAAACAGG